rnacentral:tRNA from 1 species
AGCCCGGUGGUGUAGCGGCCAAGCAUCCGGGGCUUUGAACCCUGUGACCACGGUUCGAAUCCGUGCCGGGCUA